ACGGGAGGCAGCAGUAGGGAAUCUUCGGCAAUGGGGGCAACCCUGACCGAGCAACGCCGCGUGAGUGAAGAAGGUUUUCGGAUCGUAAAGCUCUGUUGUAAGUCAAGAACGGGUGUGAGAGUGGAAAGUUCACACUGUGACGGUAGCUUACCAGAAAGGGACGGCUAACUACGUGCCAGCAGCCGCGGUAAUACGUAGGUCCCGAGCGUUGUCCGGAUUUAUUGGGCGUAAAGCGAGCGCAGGCGGUUUGAUAAGUCUGAAGUUAAAGGCUGUGGCUCAACCAUAGUUCGCUUUGGAAACUGUCAAACUUGAGUGCAGAAGGGGAGAGUGGAAUUCCAUGUGUAGCGGUGAAAUGCGUAGAUAUAUGGAGGAACACCGGUGGCGAAAGCGGCUCUCUGGUCUGUAACUGACGCUGA
rnacentral:rRNA from 1 species